CGGUGAUAAACCGGAGGAAGGUGGGGACGACGUCAAGUCAUCAUGGCCCUUACGAGUAGGGCUACACACGUGCUACAAUGGCGCAUACAGAGGGCAGCCAACUUGCGAAAGUGAGCGAAUCCCAAAAAGUGCGUCGUAGUCCGGAUUGGAGUCUGCAACUCGACUCCAUGAAGUCGGAAUCGCUAGUAAUCGUGGAUCAGAAUGCCACGGUGAAUACGUUCCCGGGCCUUGUACACACCGCC
rnacentral:rRNA from 1 species